GUAAUCCCAUCAGUUUUCUUUAGCUAAUUGAGUUUCUGCUUCAGUUAGGGUCACAGUUAUGAUCUAUGAAUGGCAUGUGAUUUUUUUGCACAAAGUAAAAUGUGUAUGUAUCUUUUGUUAUUUGUUCUCUUAUCUGUCUCUAUUUUUGUUUAACAUAAACUUAUUUGAUGGACUUUCCGAAACACUCAUUUUGUAAAGUUUUAUAUCGUUUUUUCUUUUUUUAAUUUUUUUUCGAGUAAUGUGGGCAUUGUUUCAAUACCAAAUAACACAACCUGUUUGUUGUCUAUUGGUAAGGUAUAUUGUAGUUGUUGAAAUCUUCUGUAAAUAUGUCAGUUUUCGUUACAGUACAGCUAGGGAACUUUCUUAUGAAGAAGCUAAUCGACAUUUCUGCUAGAGCUAAUUUGAUGACAAUCCUAAACUUUUUAAUAACUAAUAAGCUUUCACACUCAACUUUCAUUGACUUUAACUAAACCAGCAAAGCUUCAUCUUAAUCAUACACUCAUGGUUAUAAAUAUCUCAGUCGACAUAUGUGUGUAUGUAUAUUUUUGAAAGUGAACAUUACAUAUUUACACCCCAAAAAGAACUUUGGUACUUACUUUCAAGCCAAAGAUGAAGUGCUGUAUUGUAAUAUAACAUUGUUGAGAGCAUUCUUUGGAAUCCUUAUUGUCGUUUAUUUCACUGAAUAUUUUAAAUUCAUGAUAUGCAGUUUUUAUUUUGAUAUUUUUUUCUGUAACUUCUUAAUGAGAAGAAAUUCUAUUUUGUUGUUUGCUUCAGGGGCCUAGUUGGUUAUAGGAGUGUUUUUAGCAGUGACACCCGUGGAACUGGAUUUAUGCAUCGUGCAUUCUUAUGUAUGAUUUAUUUUCUUACUUCACCAUUUUUCUUCCUUGUCAUUCAGCUAUUUUGCUGUGCUAGUUAUUUUCUAGCAUCAUUAGCAGACUUACUUUCCUGCUGACCAAGUUUUUAAUACUUAGUGCCAUCUUAAAUUUGUACCAGUUUAAUUCUGUAUUGUAAAUGUGUAUGAUAAUGCUUAUUUGACCGUCUAUGAACCCAAGGUUAAGGUCGACUUGACUGCUUAUGUGGAGAAGCAUGAUUUUUGUUUUGAUGCUGUUCUCAGUGAGCAUGUCACCAAUGAUGAGGAAGCUUUCUUCAUGCUCUGACUUCUUCACCAAGAAAGGUUGAGAGGUUUGCUACAAAGCCGAGGGGAUAUCUGUGGCAAGGCUUCGAUCAAAUUGAAACUUUGCAAGAGACUUAAUUCCAGAACUGUAUUUCUUGGGGCCGAAAAUUUCUUAAUAAAUACCUAUUACCAAACACAUAUAUAAGUAAAAAUAAAUUGCAGGAUGA